CCUACGGGAGGCAGCAGUGAGGAAUAUUGGUCAAUGGGCGAGAUCCUGAACCAGCCAAGCCGCGUGAGGGAAGACGGCCCUAUGGGUUGUAAACCUCUUUUGUCGGAGAACAAAACCCGGGACGUGUAUCGGACUGCGUGUAUCCGAAGCAAAAGCAUAGGCUAACUCCGUGCCAGCAGCCGCGGUAAUACGGAGGAUGCGAGCUUUAUCCGGAUUUAUUGGGUUAAAAGGGUGCGUGGGCGGUCCGUUAAGGUCGCGGUAAAGUUGCGGGGCUCAACCCCGUCGAGCCGUUGAAACUGGCAGACUUGAGUUGGCGGAAAGUACGCGGAAUGCGCGGUGUAGCGGUGAAAUGCAUAG
rnacentral:rRNA from 1 species